rnacentral:rRNA from 1 species
CGUCAAGUCCUCAUGGCCCUUACAUCCCGGGCUACACACGUGCUACAAUGGCAGGUACAGAGGGCUGCGAAGCCGCGAGGGUGGAAGCCGAAAUACCCAGAAAACCUGUCUCAGUCCGGAUUGAAGUCUGCAACUCGACUUCAUGAAGGCGGAAUCGCUAGUAACCGCGAAUCAGCAGGUCGCGGUGAAUACGUUCCCAGGCCUU